AAAAAACAUGUAGACAUGUCCAGUGUUCAUGCCAAAAAUCCACCCAUUACGAUACGAACUGAUCCUUAACUACACUAUUCUUUGGAUUUGGUCCGCAGUGGCCUUUUACAGGGAGAAACCGUGAAACACUGAACGCCAUUCGAGUUUGGACUCGGAGGCAUUGGCCGAUGUUCUGAGAUGUUUAAACGGUCAACCGUUUUUGAAUAAGUGCCCCAACUGCCAGGGUUCCAAGGAGGAAAGACUGGAAACAUUGAGGUACGGCAGUAAGAGGAAUAUCAAAGGAAUCGAACAAUGCAUUCAACUUCAUUGAACAUCAUUGCCUGCUAACAUCGAAAAGACAAACGCUUCGCGAGAAGAGCAGCUUCAACGUCGAGUAGAUGGAGCCAAAGAAGACUAUGAGAGGUAGUUAGUGUCCGUGGCACUCAGUCACUUGCUUCCAUCGAAGGAAAAAAGGAACGUAAUCGUAAAUAAGUAAAAUGUCCAACAAACUAACAAUCAAAAGCCUGUCGUUUGUUUUUGUUAUCAAAGUAUAAAGAAUUUAUUACAUGUGUGUGUAUAUCCAUUGCAUCAUAUAAAUGUGUGUUCGUGUAAAACUACGACAAAUUUUAAUAUCAAAACAGGACAGAUCAGAUAACAGAAUAAUGCCCGCAACCAAGAAGCCAAGAAGCCUUCCGCUCUUGUUAGUCAAUUUGAGAGUGGUAGAAGGUCGUGUUAGAAUGGGGUGAGGGUGGGCAUGAGAUGCCAACAGCAAUAUAGACCGGAUCUAAGGCCAAUAACCAAAUCGCACUGC